CUCCCCCCAGCACCAACCCCCACCCACACUCUGCUCGCCAGCCUCGCACUUACAUCGGCACGCUCGGGCGCCGAGGGGCUCGGAAGGUCGCGCCCCUACUGGGGGGCGCGUCGCCCCUCCACACCCACGGCUGUGACGGCGUCGCCGGGAAAGUCAGGCCAUUCCUCCCGUCCUGCGCGCCGUCUCCUGUCCGCCUGCGCGCCCGCAGUUUAACCAAAGCUGCGUGUCUACGAGCCGUGCCCAUCACAUGGUGUCUGCCGGCGACCGCGCCUUGUUGCCUCCCUCUCCCGGCUCUCUGAGGAGGCAGCGACUGCGACUGGCGGAGGCUGAGCGUUGGGGAAGGGGUGAGGGAGGGGGUGCGGAAGCGCGUGCGCCCGCGCGCGGAGGCCGGCACCGAGAGCUGAGGCCGCGCGCCACCCGGGCACCUGCCUGACGCCCUCCGGGGCCGGGCAACGAGCUCCGAACUCAGCUGCCGGAGCAGCUGGAGGAUGGGAACCCUCGGGGCUGGAGCCCGCAGCGGGAGGUGCCUUCCCUCUUCCACAUCCAGCACCGGCCGACCUUGCCACCCCUCCCUGAGAUCGGGGCUGCGGAGCUCUGUGUUGGGCCCUGGGUGUGAUGCGACCUGAAGCACUUGCCGAGCUCCGAGCGCGCACCUGUCUAGGCGCGAAGAGGCCGAGAGUGGAGAUUCCGCGUUACUCCGCCCCGAGGGCUGCGGCGUUCCCGGCCCUCCCAAGUCCGGACUGGGAGCGUUGGAGGAUGCGGGAGAAGGAUGGAGGGCGGGAGCUGCUGGGCCCGGUUCUCUUUCUUCAGCCUACUCUUUGUUUCAAGCACAGCCCCUUCUAACUGGGCACUUCCUUGUGAGGGACUCGUGUCUGCUUAAAAUGGCGACAGGAAAUCUCACCUGCGCGCCAAUUAGUACAGGGCGAAUUGACAGGGUGGAAACUGGAAACUUAUAUUGACAGGGAUGGUUCCGUCGUGGUGUCUCAUCAAAACAGGACAGGGAAGGUGAAUCAUAAUCCAUAAAGUCACCGGUCUGGAGUCUUUCAAGCCGGCAGAUCGAGUAGUCAGUGUUGCAGUGGUUAUUUCAUCUGGGUCACUGCUGGAGACCACGACAGAGAACAACCCAGCGGAGCUCCUCCUCAUUAUUGACUAAAAUUCUUAUUCCCUUCGAACGGAAGUGGAUGGCCUUAGUUAGUUCAACAGUGGCUUCCUGAGAGCCCAGUUCAGAAGGCGUGUUCUUGACUUACCUGAGAAACCGAAAGGUCCGUUCAAACAAGGGGAAAGACAGGCAGCCUCGCUCAGCGGAUCCGCAGUUUCUUAGACUCGUAUUGCUUCCCUCACCAGCUUAACUAUUUUUGUCCCGGUGCUGUUUUCCUAGUUGGAAGGAAAAAAAAAAGAUUAAUAGUAGACACAUCAGAGUAAUAUUCUGUAGGUCAUCUACUUUCUACCUUUUUGCCUAGAGGAAGUUAAUUUAGUGUGAAAUUACUGAGGUCAAGUAGGGUGCACUUUGCCUGGCACAAAUAAUUCCUAUGAAUCAGGUAAGAAAUUAAGUAGGUAAAAAGGUAAAUCGUGAGCCGUAGUUCAGUAACUCAGUUAAAACGUUUAUCUUGUUAAAGGCAGAAUAUAUAUUCAAUAUGUGUUUAAGAGAAUCAGAUCUUAAGCUUAUCUUUUGGUUCCAGUUUUAACUUACUUGCUAGUUCCGAGUAUACCAAAACAUGCAGUUACUUAGCAGUUUUUGAACUGGAUUAAAUAGUUAUGAAUUGAGGUCUUACUGUUUGCCGGGUACUGUGCUAAAACUUUCCAUGUAGGGCCCGGGAUUUAGCUUAGUGGUUCCACCGCCUGCCUGGAAAGGGCAAGGUCCCGAGUUCGAUCCCCAGUACCAAAAAAAAAAAAAAAAAAAAAACUUUCCAUGUAAAUAUUUUCUCAUUUAAUCCUUUUCCCCCUUCAGUUAGAUAUUACUUCUGUAUGAACAAGAAAGGGUGUUCAAAGAGACUUCAUUGGCCCCAUUUACAUAAGACAGCAAGUAGUGAAGGGGAGAGCUAUUCCCUUUCAGGUCUGAUUUCAAAGUCCAUACUCAGUCUUAACCACAGAGCUUCUACCCAAUUUGCAAUCAGAUGAGGAUCUCCACCCCUCCUCUGGGUUUUAGUUGACCACUAGGAAGUGAAGGAAACCGUGAGGAUUGUUGCUGUGUGAGGAUUGGUGUGGGAGGGGGGAGAGGGAGGGUUCAGGAAGAGGAGUUUAUGCCUGGUUACGUCGGUGUUUUUCCAGGAUGCUUUCGGAUGAAACUUCCUCGUGUCCUUUCAGUAGUUCAGCUCUUAAACCUAAUUGCUGUGCUCUCAGUGGGGUACCACUCAUGUCAUGGAGGUGAUUUCCGUAUUCACUGUGUACUAAGAGACUAGCAGUAAGUGAAGCAUUUUAAAAUGGUCUGCCAGGUAGUGCUCCCAGCAUUGCCAACAGGACAUGCCAUUUUAAUUGCUGAUUCAGAGCUUAAAAGAAUUAAUCCCAAAUCCACAUAGCUGUAAUUGGCACAUCUAAGUCUUGAACCCAGAGCCUACUCCAAAGCCAGUACUGUAUGUCUGGCUCUAAAAUGUUCCUUGACUCUGCAGCAGCCCUGUUUGGAAGACCAGCAGGUAAGUGGACCUGUACCUUCAGAUGGGAACCACUGCUACGGAGUCUGGGAGUUAGUUUGCCAUCUGUUAAUUAGAUUUGCAAGCUCUGAGGUCAUUGUUAGUAUUGAAUGUUAUCUGUAGACCUCUCCUAAGUGAGCAGACUUCCCCAAAUGAUACUAAAGUAGUUUGGGCUGCCCUGCAGUAUUGAGAAAAUAAACUUUCUGCAUCCUCUCUCAUAGUAAGCCUAGGGUAAGAUCUGUGCCAUACAAUGAGAAUUGAGUAACUUUACCUAGUAGCGUCAUAGCUUUUUUGGUAUGGCUCCAGAAAAAGGGCACUUUGUGAAGAAAAACCAGUUGAACCCUAAAGAGUACUGAACCUGAACUUAAGCCACAUCAUCCCAGUUCCCCACUGUGUUCAGCUGGGUUGCCCAACAGGACAGCUGCAAAAAGGGCCACCACCAGCUGCUUACAGAAAAUAUGUGAUUUCCUCCACAGGUUUUCAGAGCCUUCCAAAUGCAUCUGGUCUGUUACUAGCAGACUUCUUGUGUACAAAUUUUGAGUAAUAUAAAAAUUAAAACUAUUUUCUGAAUAUAGUUCUUUUUAACUUAUAAAGGACUGUUGGGAUAAUCUGAAUUAUAACAGUGAUUUUAAAAAUAGGGAUGUCAACAGGUAAGGUUAUUUCAGAAUAAUGACUAUUUCUUACAUAUAACAGAAGGAGGUCUGCUAUCAGAUGCGCAAAUUCUACCUCAAUAGAAAAGUUGUUUAUUCUGAAAUCAAUCUUUUAUUCCUGAUUAUGGGUUCUAUAAUGGUCUAUAAAAUUACUGGUUUUUCUUGACUGAUGGGAUCACACCCCUUUGCCUGAUUAACUCUUUUACCAGCCUUGUUCUCUGGAUCUCAUCCAUACGUAACAAUAUCUUGACAUUGGAAGUUAGAGAAGCAGCCACAGCCAAAAGUGGAUUUGCAGCCAAAGGAACUCCCAGUUAUCUUGGCUGUCCUGCAGCUACCAAGCCUGUGUGGCCUACACCCCUUUGUAGAUAACACUGACAAAGAUAUUGUCACUUAUUCCAGCAUGGUGAUGAAUGCUACAUCUCUCCAGAUUUGUAAUUAAUUAGCUCUGGCAGGAGGUCACCAAUACCCACUGACUCCAAAAUGAAUUUAAAUCAAAACCCCAGAGUGAGCCUCUUUUAAAAACGCCUGUUGUCUCUGCUUUUGGCUAAGGUCAGCUUUGUAAGGUCACUUACUUAUUUUCUUAACCUGUUAGAGGAGCUUGUGGUGAAGUUCAUUAGGUAUUACAACUGUAUGGUGAUACAGUCUCAUUCAGUUGAGUUACCUAAAGAACCAGGGCAAGUGAUGAGACUGGAAGUUUAAUGCUGCCUUCCCUGGCACUUCCACACCAUUAUGCAGGUGCAUUGUGAGUCAGUUUCCUACCUAGCUACAAAAUGGGGUGUGAUACUCAUCUGGUGAUCAAGUCUACAAAGCACCCAAGCAGGAUGUUUGGUACAUAAUAAAUACCUAACAAAUGGUUCCUUUCGUUAUUUGCACACUUUGAAGAAACAGGCAUGGAACAAUUUUCAGAGCCUACGUUUAUAGGCACAAAGUAUUCUGUCAUGGCCACCCCAUACCGCUAAAGCUGCUGAGCUCACGUCUCAGUUGUAAUUCCUCCUACUGUAGAACUGGAAAAGAGAAGGUAUUAAAUAAUAAGCCCUAUUUCAACUUCUAAUUAACUUCAAGGUAGGAAAGCAUUUUGGGGGUAUACAUUAAGAAUUAGUUAAUUAGAAAGUAGAAGUGUCCCUAAAUUGAGUAUAGUGUCUAUAUUUAUAAUGGUGCUGGUGUAAAUCGAUGGAACUUUUUGUGAGGUAGCAAAUUUAGUGAAUGUGGGCUCUAGGGACAGAUUUCUCAAGUUCUGAUCUUUUUUGGGGAGUGGGGGAUCUGGGAAUCAAGACUCAGGAGUACUUAGCACUGAGUUGCAUCCCCAGCCUUUAUCUAUCUAUCUAUCCAACUAUCUUUAAUUUUGAGAAGGGUCUCACUAAGUUACACAGGCUGGCCUCAAACUUACAAUCCUCCUGCCUCAGCCUAGCAAAUAGCGUGAACUACUGGCAUGCAUCACUGUACCUGGCCCGAGUUCUAAUCUUGAUCCCACAGCUCUGUGACCUUGGGCAAGUCACUUAAUUUUUCUCUUUCUAGGUUUCUUCACUGAAAAAGGAAAUAAUAAUGCCUACCUCACAAGAUACAUCGUCACAUAAAAUAGUUCACAUUAUAUCUUAACUACUUAAUAAAUAAAUAUUGUAUUGGAAAAUAGUCUGGCAAGAAGUAGAAAGAACCUAGAUACCUUGUGUGUCACUUCUGGGGAUCUGAAAUCUAGAAAUGAUGCAGAAAGAUGCUUCCCUAUAGCAACAAAGGUAAGGAACAGGGUUUGGGAUGAGGCUAGUAUAGAUAAAAAGCUUCUUUCUUUCGUUUGUUUUGGUGGUACAGUGAGUGGUACCUCAGUUCACAAACUUAAUUCUUGACAUGAUUCUAGUUCCAAACCAAAUUGGAUGAAAACCGAUUUGAAUUCAAUGGUCAGGUUCAAUGUUGACCUUAUGGGGAAAUUUGAUUUGGUCCUCAUCCAAUUAAGUUUGCAACCAGAAUCAUGGAAAGAAUCAAGUUCAUGAAUAGAGGUACCACUAUAUUGGAGAUUAAGUCCAGAGCUUUUGCACUGAGCUACAUUUCCAGUCUGUCCCCCUCUUAAAUUUUUUAUUUUGAGACAAGGUCUGGCUAAGUUGCCCAGGCUGGGAUCAAACUUAUGAUCAUCCUCCUACCUCAGUCUUCCAGAGUGCUGGGACUACAGGGAUGUUCACCCCACCCAAUUUAAAAAGCAUGUUUAAAAACAUUCAUUGCUUUUUUUUUGGUUUUUUGAAACAGGGUCUCACUAUGUAGUUCAGGCUGGCCUUGAGCUCACUGUGUAACCCAGGCUGGCCUCAAACUCAGAGAUCCUCUUGCCUCAGCCUCCUUGGUGCUGGGAUUACAGUUGUGCAUCACCAUACAUUUAUUGAAACCAAGCAUAACAAAUUUAUAAAUGACAGAUCCAACUAAAUAGAGGGUUCAGAGAGCUCUGAACCAUCUGGAAACCCUUAGAGGUGCUUUAUUCUUUUUUUUUUUUGUACCGGGGACCGAACUCAGGCCCUUGCGCUUGCAAGGCAGGUGGUGAAACCACUGAGCUAAAUCCCCGGCCCUAGAGGUGCUUUAAGAAGCAAGAUACAGAGCUGACUCUUCCUUAGUUCUAAUCCAGUGUGAUCACUCUCUUUCUUAACCAGGUUGAGCAUCGAAAGGGAACAUAGCUGGAAGAUGGAUUUUCUUCCAAGAGCAGAGAAAUGAAAGUGAUCACAGGAAGGGAUGGAAGGCAUCAAGGAAAGUCAGUAUGUAGAUAAGAAAACUAGGGAAAAAAACAAAAUUGAAAGCCAGGAAUAGCUGAAGCAAGUCAUAAAUGCACAGCACCAGCUCUUAGGGCAGGCCUGGGGUAGGGUCAUCUCCACAUAUUAGAGCCAUCCUCUCACUAGGUGCUACUGGAUGCUAAAAUCUUAUGAGCAGAAGCAGUUUUCAGGUUUUCUGCUGGAAAGGUAGCUUUUGGGGGAAAGAGGUGUUUUGAUUUCAUUUGUCUUCUCACUAUAAGAGUAUUUAAAGGGAAAAAACCUAUUUAUAAUGAGUAGAAUACCAUGCCUUACCCCAAAUAAACUUCCAUUUUGAAUGGUUGUUCCUAGAAUAAGAAACACCAAAUAAUUUUCAGUGUGCUUGAUUUUUAUAUUUGAGGCAUAUGAAAUUUCAAAAUCACAAAGGGGGUAAUUUUAACAGAUUUAAAAUUGAUAGUCUUCUGUUGAUCUAUAUUUAUAAUUAUUUAUCCACACACUAUGUGCUCCUAAAAUAAAAUGUUUGAAGUUUUUUAUUCAAAUGUGAUAAGACCAAAACUGAACUCACUGUUCCUUCGCCCACCCCAAACCUUCUUCUCUCUUAAACCUCUUCUUGGGAAAUGGCACCACACAGGCAAAUGCUAAAGCUGGAAUGAGGGUAUCCUGGCUUGUCUCCUUUGCUUUCUGCAUGUAAUUCACUCUUUCAACUAACAUUUACUAAGUGCCAGUCAUUCUGCUAGUCUUCCAGGGAACCUGGAGUUAGGAAUAUGAGAUUGAAGGGCCAGGGAUUUAGCUCCGUGGUUCUGGUGCCUGCCGCAUAAGCGCAAGGUCCUAAGUUUGAUCCCUGGUACAAAAAAUAUAUAUAUAUGAGAUUGACAUUAAUUGGAUGGUCUCACCAGUGAAUGUACAAGUUACAGAUGGAGAGAAAGUUUGGAGGAAAAGGAGCCCAACUCUGGGGGAGAUGCACAGGACUUUGGACUUCCCUGGAAUGUGGCCCUUAUUUGGACUCUGGUUUCUGUAUGCAAAGGGUUUUGAUAAAGAGCCGGUGAUGGAUUCAAGGUGUUUUCAAAAGGAAUACAGCUAUGCCAAUUCUGUCUCCACCUGUUCCCUACUAUACAUUCCCUUUCCUCCAUCCCAUGACCAUUGCUGGUAUGAGCCUCUGUCAGCUCCCCCCUGGGCAAGUUCUUCCCAAAAAAGUGUUAAUAACAUCUCAUUAUUAAAAGCAUCUUGACUAUGCCUACCUGACAUAAUAUGUACAUGUUGAGAAUCAUACAUAUGGAAACUAUUAUUACAUAAAUUAAAAG
rnacentral:lncRNA from 1 species